GAUGAACGCUGGCGGCGUGCCUAAUACAUGCAAGUCGAGCGAACGGACGAGAAGCUUGCUUCUCUGAUGUUAGCGGCGGACGGGUGAGUAACACGUGGAUAACCUACCUAUAAGACUGGGAUAACUUCGGGAAACCGGAGCUAAUACCGGAUAAUAUUUUGAACCGCAUGGUUCAAAAGUGAAAGACGGUCUUGCUGUCACUUAUAGAUGGAUCCGCGCUGCAUUAGCUAGUUGGUAAGGUAACGGCUUACCAAGGCAACGAUGCAUAGCCGACCUGAGAGGGUGAUCGGCCACACUGGAACUGAGACACGGUCCAGACUACUACGGGAGGCAGCAGUAGGGAAUCUUCCGCAAUGGGCGAAAGCCUGACGGAGCAACGCCGCGUGAGUUAUGAAGGUCUUCGGAUCGUAAAACUCUGUUAUUAGGGAAGAACAUAUGUGUAAGUAACUGUGCACAUCUUGACGGUACCUAAUCAGAAAGCCACGGCUAACUACGUG
rnacentral:rRNA from 1 species